UAAGGAAUAUUGGACAAUGCCCGCAAGGGUGAUCCAGCCAUGCCGCGUGCAGGAAGACGGCCCUAUGGGUUGUAAACUGCUUUUAUACCGGAGAAAACCUCCCCUCGUGAGGGGAGCUGAUAGUAUGGUAAGAAUAAGCAUCGGCUAACUUCGUGCCAGCAGCCGCGGUAAGACGAAGGAUGCAAGCGUUAUCCGGAUUCAUUGGGUUUAAAGGGAGCGUAGGCGGCCUUAUAAGUCAGUGGUGAAAUCUUUGGGCUUAACCCAAAAAUUGCCAUUGAUACUGUAGGGCUUGAGUACAGUUGCUGUGGGCGGAAUAUGACAUGUAGUGGUGAAAUACAUAGAGAUGUCAUAGAACACCGAUUGCGAAGGCAGCUCACAAAACUGUAACUGACGCUGAGGCUCGAAAGUGCGGGGAUCAAACAGGAUUAGAUACCCUGGUAGUCCGCGCCCUAAACGAUGUUAACUCGAUAUUUAUUCUACGGAGUGAGUGUCCAAGCGAAAGCGUUAAGUUAACCACCUGGGGAGUACGUUCGCAAGAAUG
rnacentral:rRNA from 1 species